GCGGAUGUAGCUCAAUGGUAGAGCGGUCCCCAGCAAAGGUCCGGGUUCGAUCCUCGGCAUCCUCA
rnacentral:tRNA from 1 species